rnacentral:lncRNA from 1 species
AAAUAAAACUCACUUGAAACUUCCAUUAAGAUUAGCCUUAGAAACACAUUGGUUAUCUCUCACAUGCAUGUAAUAAGAUGUCUGAGAUAAUAUUAUGUCACAUAGUUCUUAGUUGUAAUGAGAUAUUUUUCAAGCUUUGAUCGUGCUUACGUAGGUCAAGAAAAUGCCAAAAAUACUAAAAUAAGCUAGGAAAAAUAGUAAAAGUAUCCACAUUAUUCUUGUGGAGCAGCUCAAUGUCAUUGAAGCCCCAUGCAAGUUGUCCUUUGCAAUAAUGCUCCAUGGCCAUUCACCAGGCCACCACCAAUUCAUCCUCCUCAAAUCAUCCAACCUAGAGAAGGGCAACCUCAAUGCUAACCUCGCCACCCAUACCUGCAAAAUCAAACCAUGGUAGGUUGUCAUUUUUUUUGAUGUGAAAGAUAAGGCUAGCAUAGUAUAGCACAAAAGUAACUAAGCACUUUUAGGUCUUUAAUACAUAGAUCAAAGUCCUCUAAAAGCUUUGUCUAUUUCAUAGGUGUUAUAUAUCCCAAUUUUUAGUUACAUCAUAUGUAUCUAGAAAUUAUGAAAAAAAAAUUAUUAAAAUUUCUCAUG